rnacentral:rRNA from 1 species
CUGGUUGAUCCUGCCAGUAGUCAUAUGCUUGUCUCAAAGAUUAAGCCAUGCACGUCUAAGCACAUGCCUUAAUACGGUGAAGCCGCGAAUAGCUCAUUACAACAGCCACCGUUUACUAGAAUAUAGUUAUCCUACUUGGAUAACUGUGGCAAUUCUAGAGCUAAUACAUGCAAAAAAGCUCCGCCCGCAAGGAACGAGCGCAUUUAUUAGAAUAAAAACCAAUCGGGUUUCGGCCCGUAAUUUGGUGAAUCUGAAUAACUUUGCCAAUCGCACAGUCCUAGUACUGGCGAUGUAUCUUUCAAGUGUCUGCCUUAUCAACUUUCGAUGGUAGGUUAUACGCCUACCAUGGUAGUAACGGGUAACGGAGAAUAAGGGUUCGACUCCGGAGAGGGAGCCUGAGAAACGGCUACCACAUCCAAGGAAGGCAGCAGGCGCGCAAAUUACCCACUUCCAGAACGGAGAGGUAGUGACGAAAAAUAACGAGACAGUCCUCUUCGAGGUCUGUCAUCGGAAUGGGUACAAUUUAAAUCCUUUAACGAGGAUCUAUUGGAGGGCAAGUCUGGU